UGGCACCGUAUAAACGGAAAC
rnacentral:piRNA from 1 species